GGUAGUUGCAUCUUUUUAAUACCAUUUCAAGUUUUAUAUAUUAAUACUUUUCAAAUUAUACUGACAAUCUUAUAGAAUAAAAGUGAAAAUACAGUGCAAUUUACAUAAUAUGCUUUACUAUACUUAUACACCUCCUUGUUCGGAUCUAGAAAAAGCGAAUACGGUUACAUAUAUGACAACAAUAUAAUAGUAUAUGCAACAUUUCCUUUCGCUAUGCUACAACAAUAUAUAGCAUAUGCAACAUUUCCUUUCGCUAUACCAUGCAUAAACUACUUACAAAUAUUAUUUUUAAUAAAUACAUCAAAUUCAAGGCCGUCCAAAGCGGGGGGCGGGCUCGAGCCCCCCAAUAGUUUUCAUUUGUAUAAGCAAAACAAGCAAAAGAACUAUAAAAGUGCGAAAGCAAUUCAAAUUUAUUCUUGAGCCCCCAAUAUUGAUUUACUUUCAGAGGCCGCGGAAGCAUUUUGAAAGUGGAGGGGCAUCGGCCAAAAGGGGAACUUUUGUAUAUGACCAAAAUUAAACGAUUUUAUGUCGUUCACGAGCCGAGCGGAAAUUUUUGAAAAUAUGAAGUCGCUAUAACGUCGGAAAUGGCCUACAUAGUCUUUACUACUGCAAAAAGGCACUGGGGCCACUUUAGCCAGAAAAAAGGCACUUCCUCACUUUUAAAAAAUGGGGGGUGGCACAUGCCCCCAUUGCCCCCCCCCCCGCUUCCGCGGCCCCUGAAAACAACGGCCUUGAAUUUUAAUUUUUAAAUGAACAAUAGGCCUAUAGCCCUUGCCACUUUAUGCAUAGAGACACCGGAUGAUUAUACGUUUAUUCUUGCAUAACAAAACUACUCUCUGUAUAAUUGUCCAAUAUUUUGCUGCUGAAAUUUUUCGAUUCAUAUCUUUGGUGUUGUAAUCAGUCCACGAGGCAAUCAUUUAUUAAGAUGUUCACAAUUCAGAGAAUUCAAGAGUAAUACUCUGACAGCAAAAAAUUUGGGUAAACUCCUUUAUAAUUUUAAGAAAUUUACGAUAUUCCGAAAAGUUACCCUGUACAAAUUCAAAAUACACGAAAACCAUGAACAACUUAAAAAUCAUGCCAGUCGUAAAAUUCUAACUGAUAUUUCGAUAUUAUAUCCUGGUUGCAGGGCCAAAAUACUGCCUAUAGUGCUACUUGUCUCGUGUGUAUGUCUCUGUUUUCUCUUUUGCAAGACUAAAGAAGCCUGUAAAAUAGUUAGGUCUGACAAUAAACCUGAAUUUUAUGUCUUCUUUUAAUUUUCUUAUAUUGAUGAUAUAUAUUCGCCUGCACGUAGAUAUAAAUACAUGCUGAAACAGCAUGAAUUUGAAAUUCUCCUCUAAACCACCAACAAUCAAACCCGCGUCUUGACAUUUGGUUAUUAUAUUAUUUUCACGUCCACACGUCUUCAACAUAUCUAUGUUCUUGACGUAACUUCCAGAUAUCUUUCUUGGCUUCCUCGUGUGAAAGACCUGAUAAAAACGAAUCCAUGCAGUUACAAGUAAUAUUUAAAUACAAACUUCUUCUGGGCCUGGGGUUUAUUGCAUGGAGAUUCUCUUAAACCACUGCAUUCCCAGCAUUGAACGCGGACUACAAGGAACUACGGAUGCAUGCAAGUGAGUAUAUAU